AAGAUGAGCCCGCGUCCGAUUAGCUAGUUGGUGGGGUAAAGGCCUACCAAGGCGACGAUCGGUAGCUGGUCUGAGAGGAUGAUCAGCCUCAAUGGGACUGAAACACGGCCCAUACUCCUACGGGAGGCAGCAGUGGGGAAUUUUACCCUAUGGGGGAAACCCUGACGUAGCGACACCGCGUGAGCGAAGAAGCCCCUUGGGGUGUAAAGCUCUGUCAUCUGGAACGAAACAAAUGACGGUACCUGCAAAGGAAGCAUCGGCUAACUACUUGCCAGCCGCCGCGGUAAGACGUAGGAUGCGAGCGUUGCCCGGAUUUAUUGGGCGUAAAGAGUUCGUAGGUGGUUUGUUAAGUUUGAUGUUAAAGAUCGGGGCUCAACCUCGGGACAGCAUUGAAUACUGGCAGACUUGAGUAUGGUAGAGGCUAGUGGAAUUCCCAGUGUAGUGUUGAAAUGCUUAGAUAUUGGGAAGAACACCGGUGGCGUAGGCGACUAGCUGGGCCAUAACUGACGCUGAGGAACGAAAGCCAGGGGAGCGAAAGGGAUUAGAUACCCCUGUACUCCUGGCCGUAAACGAUGGAUACUAGGCGUAUCGGGUAUCGACCCCUGAUGUGCCGCAGCUAACGCGAUAAGUGUCCCGCCUGAGUAGUACGGCCGCAAGGUUGAAACUCAAAGGAAUUGACGGGGGCCCGCAUAUGCGGUGUAUCAUGUGGUUUAAUUCUAAGCAACGCGCACUACCUUACCAGGGCUUGACAUG
rnacentral:rRNA from 1 species